GAUGAACGCUAGCUACAGGCUUAACACAUGCAAGUCGAGGGACCGGCGCACGGGUGAGUAACACGUAUCCAACCUGCCCUUUACUCGGGGAUAGCCUUUCGAAAGAAAGAUUAAUACCCGAUCUAAUGGAUGGGGAUGCGUUCCAUUAGGUUGUUGGUGAGGUAACGGCUCACCAAGCCUUCGAUGGGUCGGGGUUCUGAGAGGAAGGUCCCUCACACUGGAGCUGAGACACAGUCCAAACGCCUAGGGGAGGGUGCAGUGAGGAAUAUUAGGCAAUGGGCGCUAGACUGAACCAGCCAAGUAGCGUGAAGGAUGAAGGCUUAUGGGUCGUAAACUUCUGUUAUAUAAGAAGAUGUAUUAUAUGAAGAAGGAUCGGCUAACUCCGUGCCAGCAGCCGCGGUAAUUC
rnacentral:rRNA from 1 species